AAAUCUCAGAGACACAAGCUUUUGCAACCCUAAGGAGGCCAUUUUUUGGCAGAGUACUGCAAGCUGCCCCUUCCUUCCUUUAGUCAAUACAAGCUACAGACUUUGGUUUCACCAGCAACUGAUGCCUAGUCAGCCAUUAACCUGAGAGCUGGAAAGCUGCUAGCUGUGGAGAGUCCCCAGGCUAUUUGCUCAUAGGGUUCUGAAGUAUUUGAAAGGACUGAGAUGAUGACAUUUCUCAAGCUCUGAAGAGUACAGACUAUACCACAAGAAGUUUGAACAAAAUUUUAAUGCUGGAACCAGUUGAUUUAUGAUAAUGACCUUCUUGCAUAUUAAAGUUGAAAGCCUAUUCUUGGAACAUUGUUGUGCUCACCAAGCUAUUGAAGAUGGUGUUGGAUUAGCAAAAUUUAGAUACAGUAAAUUUGCAUGGAGCCAUGAAGAAAAUACCAUGUUACAGCAAAACCCAGUGAAAUUUUGCUCUUUCCCUUCAUUCAAAGGUGCAUCACUAACUUGACUGGAGUGCUUGUGAAGGCUCAGCACCGACUGCAGUGAGAAAUACAGGGCCUGAGUGCGUGCCUUGCUAAUCAUGAUGGAGCUGAGAUACAAAUAGCUUUAUACUGACAAUGAGAAUGUUCACUGGCUAACAUCAUGCAACAUUUUGAGACUAAAAAUGAGGUGGCAUUGGCUUUGUCAGGCUAAGUCCAAAGAAGAUCUUGCUGAGUCACAGUAUUUGCAACAGCCAGACCAUCAAGGACAGGGUCUCUGUACUGCUGACAGGUUGGCCAACCUGAGGGGCAGAAAAAAGAAGACUUGGGAUGAGACGUUUGCAGAACUCAUGACAGAGUCCCUGUGGAAAACCAGGCUGGCUGAGAGGCUGGCUAUGAGGACCCAGAGGGAGAAAGAAAAGCAGCUCAGGGAAGUGGCCAAGGACAGGGUCACAGUGGCCAGAGAAAGUGUGGCGGUGGCCAACAACAGCAUCACCAUGACAAAGGAGAGCAUGGAAAAAGACAGAGAUGUGAAGGCAACUCAUGAACACUGUCCUGAGCCAAAAUGCCCUCCUGCAAAAUAUUACUUACUAGGUCAGCAGGACCUGCAGUCCCAUAAUUUGUUUGUUAAAUGUAUUUCCAGAUACAAAGAUAUUUUUCCACUGGUUUCAUUAAAACUUUAUUGGGUUUUUAUUGCUCUCUCAUAAUAAAUCUAUUUAUAACACGUC